rnacentral:rRNA from 1 species
GAUGAACGCUGGCGGCGUGCCUAAUACAUGCAAGUCGAGCGAACAGACGAGGAGCUUGCUCCUUUGACGUUAGCGGCGGACGGGUGAGUAACACGUGGAUAACCUACCUAUAAGACUGGGAUAACUUCGGGAAACCGGAGCUAAUACCGGAUAACAUGUUGAACCGCAUUGUUCAACAGUUAAAGUCGGUCUUGCUGUCACUUAUAGAUUGAUCCGCGCCGCAUUAGCUAGUUGGUAAGGUAACGGCUUACCAAGGCUACGAUGCGUAGCCGACCUGAGAGGGUGAUCGGCCACACUGGAACUGAGACACGGUCCAGACUCCUACGGGAGGCAGCAGUAGGGAAUCUUCCGCAAUGGGCGAAAGCCUGACGGAGCAAAGCCGCGUGAGUGAAGAAGGUGUUCGGAUCGUAAAACUCUGUUAUUAGGGAAGAACAAAUGUGUAAGUAACUAUGCACGUCUUGACGGUACCUAAUCAGAAAGCCACGGCUAACUACGUG